GGGUUGUGAGGUUAAGCGACUAAGCGUACACGGUGGAUGCCCUGGCAGUCAGAGGCGAUGAAGGACGUGCUAAUCUGCGAUAAGCGCCGGUAAGGUGAUAUGAACCGUUAUAACCGGCGAUUUCCGAAUGGGGAAACCCAGUGUGACUCGUCACACUAUCAUUAACUGAAUCCAUAGGUUAAUGAGGCGAACCGGGGGAACUGAAACAUCUAAGUACCCCGAGGAAAAGAAAUCAACCGAGAUUCCCCCAGUAGCGGCGAGCGAACGGGGAGGAGCCCAGAGCCUGAAUCAGCAUGUGUGUUAGUGGAAGCGUCUGGAAAGGCGCGCGAUACAGGGUGACAGCCCCGUACACAAAAGCGCAUGUGCUGUGAGCUCGAUGAGUAGGGCGGGACACGUGGUAUCCUGUCUGAAUAUGGGGGGACCAUCCUCCAAGGCUAAAUACUCCUGACUGACCGAUAGUGAACCAGUACCGUGAGGGAAAGGCGAAAAGAACCCCGGCGAGGGGAGUGAAAAAGAACCUGAAACCGUGUACGUACAAGCAG
rnacentral:rRNA from 1 species